CCCCAAAAUCCUCAGCACAGGAGAAAGAGCUACAGAGAGAUAAUGGAGCAAGGCAGGUCCUGGAGCACUGGUUGUGCUGCCUGGUGUGUGCCAGAGGUGUCAGCUGCCUUAGAGCAGCACCUCAGCUACUUCUCCUGCCCUCUGAAGACUUGUGUGAAAAUGACCAAGAUACAAAGGGCCCGGGGUGCUCCUGGAAGAGGAAAAGCCUACUGGUGUUGCUUGAAUGAAGGGGCUGAGGACAGUGCCUGAGUGUCUGCAUUCAUGUCCUGGGAAAGCAGUUGGAAAUUGAUCCUGGUUUGGUCACCCACUGAUGAGCUAAUUUUUAACACCAACCAUGAACAUCUCACUGCUGGAAUUGCGGUGUGCCCGGUCCUCCUCAAGCAUGUGAGCGAGCAAAUCACUCCAGCAGCGUGGAUCGUUCUUCUGCACCCAUUGUUAUGGAAAUCGCCUUAGAGACUGUUGCUCCAGCAAACAUUUUUAGAAGCACGAGUGAGUUGCGCAACAGGAAAACUGCUCGGAGGUGAGGAAAACCCCCCUCCAGGCUCUCAGCGCUGCCCCUUCCUCCAGCACCGCAGUGGAGCCCUGCUGGCUCUCCUGGUGGGGACGGGAUUCAGGGUGUUCCUUUGCCUGUUUGCUCGUGCUCCUCAUCACUGCCUGCUGUGGAGCAGGACCAGCUCUCCAGCCUGUACCCAGGAGGUCCGAGCAGCCCCAGCUGAUGUAAAGGGAAAAGCACAGAUCCAGUGACCUUUGUUUGCCUCACUGCUGCCCACAGUGCCUGCCUGACAU